CCUACAUAUGCGGGGCAGUGCCUUCAUUACUGCGUUGUGUCCAACAGGUGGCCGCAGAGCUGCAGUGCUCCUGAGAGCUUUAAAGACAGCAUGGAGAUGCGUGGGUCUUCACGGCAGCAGCAAGGAGCCAGAAUCUGCAUUUCCUGGAAUGCCACGGAACCCCACUUUGCUGGCUGGUAAUUGUCUGCCCAGCAGGUGAAGAUGCCUUUGACACUUCCAGCUGAUGACUUCGCCCCGGGACACCAUCGUCUUUCCAGGCCUCCCACACUCACCGCCAGCUCAGUUUGGUCGAGUUGUUACCCGAAUCCCCAUUUCAUUCCCUUUCCAUGAUCCUCCUGUCACUCUGCCGCAAGCCCCUACCACCUCCCAAGGUCGUCGCAGGCAACGUGUGGGAUGCGGCACUCAGUCUCAUUAUAGUUCAUCCCAUCAGCCUCAGCCCAGCGAUCCAACCCUAACCCACACCCUUCCUUAGGGCCCUUCUACUCCCAGGCCAAUCAGCGCUUCCUUCUGAUGCCAUCUGCGUUCCUUCCUGGCUGCUUUAAGACUCGUGCCCCUUUGUGGCCAUUUUGAGAGUUGUGCUGAUUUCAGCGUGUGCAUUCAAUUUAUUUCAACCAAAUUGGCUUCAGUUUUACAUUCAAUUAAUGUAAACCAAAUUGGCUUUAAGUUUGCCUUGCUUAUGGGGUUGGGUUAGCUUUGCUUUGUUUGUUCCUAGGCAGGGCUAACCCAACCCUGUAACCAAGGGCCGGUGGAGGCGGUUUGUGUUCCUUCCCGGCCAGUCUGAGACUUGCGCCCCAUUGUGGCCAUUUGAAGAGUUGCGCUGAUUUCAGCGUCUGCAUUCAGUUUAUUUCAGCCAAAUUGGCUUCAGCCUUGCAGACA